AAAAAGAGAAGAUGAAAGUGUACAAAGUGCUAAGUGAGGUCAGAAGGGAAAGAGGAUAAAAGGGAGCUUGUUUACCAAAAGAAGGAUUCUAGAAGACACAAAAGAACAGAAGGAAUGAGGAUGACAUAGACUAUGGAGGGAAGUAAAUUGAUUUGUGAUUCAAUAAUACGCCAUUCAACUUGAACUCGGAGGAUACUAUGGGACAGUCAGAUCAGCUCUAUCUUCAAGCUCAAAAAGCAUUAGAAUGGAAGUUAAAAAAAAAUAAAAAUG